GCCUUCGUGGUGUAACGGUAGCACACUCGACUCGUAUUCCAGAGGUCCAGGUUCGGUUCGAGUCCCGGCUAGGGCA
rnacentral:tRNA from 1 species